rnacentral:rRNA from 1 species
UACGUAGGGAGCAAGCGUUGUCCGGAAUCAUUGGGCGUAAAGCGCGUGUAGGCGGCUUGGUAGGUCUGCUCUGAAAGCCCGGGGCUCAACCCCGGGAGGCGGGUGGAUACUGCUGAGCUCGAGUCCGGAAGAGGCGAGUGGAAUUCCUGGUGUAGCGGUGAAAUGCGCAGAUAUCAGGAGGAACACCGAUGGCGAAGGCAGCUCGCUGGGACGGUACUGACGCUGAGACGCGAAAGCGUGGGGAGCAAACAGG